UGCCAGACUCCUACGGGAGGCAGCAGUGGGGGAUAUUGCACAAUGGGGGGAACCCUGAUGCAGCGACGCCGCGUGGGUGAAGGAGUGCUUCGGCAUGUAAAGCCCUAUCGGCAGGGAAGAAGCAAGACGGUACCUGACUAAGAAGCCCCGGCUAACUACGUGCCAGCAGCCGCGGGAAUACGUAGGGGGCAAGCGUUAUCCGGAUUUACUGGGUGUAAAGGGAGCGUAGGCGGUAAUGCAAGUCAGAAGUGAAAGCCCGGGGCUCAACUCCGGGACUGCUUUUGAAACUGUGUUACUAGAUUGCAGGAGAGGUAAGUGGAAUUCCUAGUGUAGCGGUGAAAUGCGUAGAUAUUAGGAGGAACACCAGUGGCGAAGGCGGCUUACUGGACUGUAAAUGACGCUGAGGCUCGAAAGCGUGGGGAGCAAACAGGAUUAGAUACCCGUGUAA
rnacentral:rRNA from 1 species